rnacentral:rRNA from 1 species
AUUGAACGCUGGCGGCAGGCCUAACACAUGCAAGUCGAGCGGAUGAAGGGAGCUUGCUCCUGGAUUCAGCGGCGGACGGGUGAGUAAUGCCUAGGAAUCUGCCUGGUAGUGGGGGAUAACGUCCGGAAACGGGCGCUAAUACCGCAUACGUCCUGAGGGAGAAAGUGGGGGAUCUUCGGACCUCACGCUAUCAGAUGAGCCUAGGUCGGAUUAGCUAGUUGGUGGGGUAAAGGCCUACCAAGGCGACGAUCCGUAACUGGUCUGAGAGGAUGAUCAGUCACACUAGAACUGAGACACGGUCAAGACUCCUACGGGAGGCAGCAGUGGGGAAUAUUGGACAAUGGGCGAAAGCAUGAUCCAGCCAUGCCGCGUGUGUGAAGAAGGUCUUCGGAUUGUAAAGCACUUUAAGUUGGGAGGAAGGGCAGUAAGUUAAUACCUUGCUGUUUUGACGUUACCAACAGAAUAAGCACCGGCUAACUUCGUG